AUUGGCCCAUUUUAGAUCCACCUCUAGCAUACCUAUUGAUUGUUCUUGCAGAUACGAUGUUGAUAUGCGACUCUUCAACUACGUCUUCGUCGUUCCAUUUAUCUGCAAUUCACCGUUAUCCAAUCCCAAUCUUUUCCAUUCAAUUAUGUUUUAAUCCGGAACCAUGAUUUCGUUUCACCUCCUUUUGUUCCUCCUUCCUCCUUUAUAAAUCCCUUCAUCCAAUUGUUCUUCCAAUCAAAAUUUACAACCUCCACCGAAAAAUAUAAAGCGAGAGCUAUGAACUAUGUUAUGUCCACCGGAAUGGCUCUCAUCGCCAUGUGCAAAGAGGAAGUUCUUUGAUGGAUUUGAUAUCACUGGUGUCUGUGAAACACAGAAAGGGGCAAGAAAAUAACCGAAGGUUAGAUACACACCAUAACUGAUUUGCUUGAAGGUAUAAGGGAACCUUCUGUCGCUGCCAACAUAUAUAGUAAGCAAAAAGUUUACAGUGACCUACUAUGUCUAUAUAUUUCAAGCAAACAACUACCAUUAGUCGUGCAUCUGUCUUAUGUGACUUUGUCUGCAACGAAAUCCAGUAGUCCUCCCAAUAGUUUGGUGGACAAUUACACAGAAGAAACUUUUCUUUUGCUUCUAUAAGCUACUCUAUUGGCACUGUUGUAGUCUACAAUGGCUCAACUCGGUGUGAGUACCCUUUUAAGACUAAUAUACUUUUUCGUUUCCCUUUUUCUAUAUGUUUGGAAACUAUAAGAUUUUUGUCGAUGAAGAACCCUCUGUAGCCAUAAGUUCGAGAAACAUCUUUCUUGACUUUCCAUAUUUUUCAUAUUUUGAUAUUGAGCCAUCGUAGACUAUGCCAGCUUCGAUUUUUCGAUUGUGGCUGGCUGCAGGUAAAGCUUACAAACUUAUAGUGACUAUGCCAGCUUUGAUAAACUUUCAAAUUACAUGCACUUGGAGCAGAGAUUAUGCUAACGAAUCCAGAGAAAAGUCUCGGACGUGUAGUGGAUUUGAGCUAGAGAGAUUGUCUGAAGACAAAGAAUGUAUGUAAGUUCAAACAGUUUUAUAAUAAAAUAGUAAUAUAAUGUAACUACAAUGUAAACGGAGUGGCAAAUUGAGUGGAGAGACCAUAGAAGUUGCCAUUUUUAAUUAGAAACCAAUGAAGAAGAUCGGCUCCUUCAGAUUUGCGCUUUUUCAGUCUGAUGAUCUCUUGAUUUAUGUGUGUUUCCAAUUGCUACUUUGUGAAAAGUCCCCGUAUAUUUGAGCUGUAGUCAAUAUCGUUGGUUUGGUUGUAGUCAAGAUGUGAACUCCAGUGGAAACUGAAUAGGGAUGGUGAGUUGAUAAAGAGGAUAUUGGGCUUGCUCCGGGAUAUGCCGACUGGGAGAAACUACUCUGAUCCUUAAAAUUUGAUAGGAUGCAGUUGUAACUUUUUGACUGAUAUAGUCUUGUGCUUUGUUACUAGCAGGAUUUUUUUUUCUUGUGAUAUAAAUAACAUGAAUCACAUUAUAACAGUA